rnacentral:lncRNA from 1 species
GCUAUGAUCUAGUUAUCCCCAUAACAACUUAUUUUCGAGAUCUAAUAAUUUAGAGCAUUUAAUUUAUCAAUUGAGAAAAGAGAAAAGUCAACCAAUAAACCAUAAUUCUCUCACUAACUUCAUCAAGUCUUUGAAUUAGAUUAAGAUCAUGCUGGUUGAACUGGCACCUAGAUCAGUCACGUUGAUCAACCUUAAUGACAUGGGUUAACUCGAAUCACUUAGUGAUCUAAUCAAAACUUAAUUCAUCAAAUUAGCUAGGUA